UACGGAGGGUGCGAGCGUUAUUCGGAAUUACUGGGCGUAAAGCGCGUGUAGGCGGGGAUGCAAGUCUGAUGUGAAAGCCCUGGGCUUAACCUGGGAAGUGCAUUGGAAACUGCAUUUCUUGAGUACUGGAGAGGAAGGGGGAAUUCCCGGUGUAGAGGUGAAAUUCGUAGAGAUCGGGAGGAAUACCAGUGGCGUAGGCGCCCUUCUGGACGGUUACUGACGCUGAGACGCGAAAGCGUGGGGAGCAAACAGGAUUAGAAACCCUUGUAGUCC
rnacentral:rRNA from 1 species